rnacentral:lncRNA from 10 species
UGUCCACUUUCCCGACACUCCCAGGGCCUGAGGAAUCCUUGGUGCCUCCUCUAGGUGUAACCCAUGUCCCUGUAUGCGUCCCAGGGGUCAUCCUCAAAUACUGCCGUGGUCUUGGUGUCCAGAGUCGUCUUAGCAGGUGGGACUCUCCUGUCUUCACCAGUCUGUUGGGAUCAGCUCAGCCAGCCUGGUUAAAGGAGACAGAGAAUGCUGAUUCACUAUGCAGUGAAACAUGCCUAACGUGUCAACAGCUAAUGCCCGGUGACAGAGUGGUUGUCUGGGCAACAGAAGAAGUCACCCACGCAAACACUUAAAGAAAUUAGGAUCAUCCUCUGCAUGUGAAGGAACAGAGAAGCACUCAGCUCUACCCUUUGGAGCAGGGGAUUGGACAGCAUGAGCCUUCAAUCAUAUCUCUUGGAUGACCAAGGAAGGCUGGAUUUGUGCACCUAAAAAAUGGAAGCACAAACUGUACAACAAAUACUCUCCGUUCAAGUUGAAGUUCUCAAAUAAGGUAUCCAAUUAACUGAUAUAUUAAUAACAUUUAAAAUAAUAAUCUCAUAGGAAGAUUCCAAAAGUUUCUGAUUUUAUAUCUAGCAAAGACUUCAUAAACUAUGUUUGAUUUGUAUGUAGAACUCAGG